UCCAUAUUUUAAGAAAGGAAGAUUUUUCUUCCUUUGACAAAUUAUACAUUGGCAACAAUUGUGGACUUGGCUAACAAGCCAAUUUCUUUGUUCACAUUUUCAUGAUGUAAGCGCUUACCUCAUCAUAAUCGUGAUGUAAGCGCUUACCUCACCAUAGGAAAUUCAUUCCUAUAAAUAGGCAGCUUAUGGUUCAUUUGUAACACACCAAAAUCUCAGACAAUACAUCUGAGUGAGAGCAAAAGUGAGUUAUUCCAUAGACGGUAAGAAAAUAGUCUGUGAAGAAAAAUAGAGUGUGAGUGAUAUUGUAGUGAGGUGGGAAAAUCAAAAGAGUGUUAUUUCUUUUGAGGGUGUAGUGGUCUUAGGAGUAUUUGUACUCGUUACUACACAGUGUAAAAUUCCUCUAUAGUGAUAUCAGCUGCUCCUCUUGGCCGUGGUUUUUCCCUUAUUCAGAAGGGUUUCCACGUAAAAUCUUGGUGUCAUUAUUGCUGCAUUUUAUUCUUGCUGAUUUAACCAUAAGAUCAGGCAUGACCUAAAUGGAGACAGAGGAAGUAGAAGCUAAUCGGUGGAAUUGGAUUUCUUUGCGAUAUGCUCAAUCGGACUUGGCUCCGCUCCAGUAUAGGGACUGUCCAGUUUGUCAAGUGGACCUUUAAUCUGCUGACAUCUGGACACUUACAGAUCUAAGGGUCAUUAAUUGUUCAACCAAAAAAGCAUCUUAAACCAUGGUUAGGCCACACACUAGUUAAUAUUUAAUAUUUUCUUAUCAGCAACAUUAUUAUAGGCGAGAAUCAUGCUACUUUUCAGUCUUCUGAUUUUCUUUAUUCCCAACAAAAAUUGAAGAUAUCUCA